ensembl:lncRNA
GAGAGAGAGAGGUCAGCAGAGAGAGAGAGAGGUCAGCAGAGAGAGAGAGAGGUCAGCAGAGAGAGAGAGAGGGAGGGCAGCAGAGAGUGAGAGAGGGAGGGCAGCAGAGAGACAGAGAGGGAGGGCAGCAGAGAGAGAGAGGAGGGCAGCAGAGAGAGAAUGGGGCAGCAGAGAGAGAGGGGGCAGUAGAGGGAGAAGUGGGGGUUGCAGUAGAGAAAGGGAGAGGGCAUUAUAGAGAGGGAGAGAGGGGGCAGCAGAGAGAGAGGGGGCAGUAGAGAUAGGGAGAGGGCAGCAUAGAGAGGGAGAGAGAGGGGCAGCAUAGAGAGAGGGGGCAGCAUAGAGAGGGAGAGAGGGCAGCAGAGAGAGAGAGGACAGCAGAGAGAGAGAAGGGCAGCAGAGAGAGAGAGGGGGUAGCAGAGAGAGAGAGGGGGCAGUAGAGAGAGAGAGGGGGCAGCAGAGAGAGAGAGGGGGCAGUAGAGAAUGGGAGAGAGCAGUAUAGAGAGGGAGAGAGAGCAGCAUAGAGAGGGAGAGGGCAGCAGAGAGAGGGAGAGAGAGGGCAGCAGAGAAAGAGGGGGAGCAGAGAGAGAGGGGGCCGCAUAGAGAGAGGGGGCAGCAGAGAGAGAGAGAGAGGGGGGGCAGCAUAGAGGGAGAGAGGGGCAGUAGAGAAAGGAGAGAGAGAGGGGGCAGUAGAAGGAGAGAGGGG